GCAGUGGUUUUGAAAAUACACAUUCCCAAAUGGCAUCUUCACUGACUCCCUGUCUCCCGCUUCCUUCCAAUCCAGGCAAAAUCUUCUCAUUUCUUGGUACUUUUCUCUGCUAGUGACAUACAAAUAAAUGACUAGCAAGUGCCACAAUUAAAAAAAAAAAAAACUAUAUACUUCCUCUGUUAUGCCCCACCAUCAUGUCUAGUCCCUCAACGGAUAGUCCAAAGUCCUUAUACGACCUCAUCUAAGCAAUCCCGGGUAGUGAGGAUGAAGCAGGGAAAUGAUGUGGAAAUCAGGUCAUUAAAUCGGUCUUUCUUUGAUCUCUGCCCAUGGCAGUGAUCCCAGAAUUGACCUGUCUCCCCAAGGGGGAAUCCAUGAGACAAAUUCUUAUUGAAUAUAUAUUAUGUAAUAGUUAAAUACUAGGAUCACACAAACAAAACCAAAUCUUUGCCUCUAAGAAGCUCACUGGGAAGUACCCUGGUGGCUCAGUGGCUUAAGGAUUCUCCCUUGUUGUGGCUCUGGUUACACCUGUGGCGAGGGUUCAAUACCUGGCCUGGGAACUUCCACAUGCCAUGGGCCAGGCCAAAAAAAAAGCAGCAGCAGCAGCUUAGUGGAAGAUGAGAGAGACUGCCAUUUCAUUCAUGAAAAGAAUAGUUAUUGAGCAGCUUCUGUGUCCAGACCUUUUUCCAGGUACCAAGGAUCCACCUGAAAAUAAAACAGACAAAAUCCCUUGACUUAAGGAGCUUUUACUCUUGUAGCAAGAGAGAUAAGGAACAAAAUAAAUAAGCAAUAGACCAGUGUGGGAGAGGUGGUGAUAAGUGAUAUGGGGAAACAUAGAGCGGUAAAGGAGGGUAGCACCUAGAGUGACACUUGAAUCAGUUCCCACAGGAGGAGAGGAGGCCAGCCCAGGGAUAUCGGGUCCCCAGCGGGUAAGCUAUUGUCAAUGAAGGAGAGAGAUUCCAGGCUUUGAUUUUUACUUGGAGUGAGAUGGAAAGCUGUUGGAGUCAAGGUUAACAAUUCAACAUGGAGGCUGUUAUGAAAGAGGUACAAAGGAAGGCUUUAGGGAACACUGAGGAAGGCUUCCUGACUCUGCUCAGCAGAUCCAGGAGCAGCAGGGGACGUUUGCUCAGCCUUAGUGAAUGCUUUGGGAAAGCAAGAGGAGGGCAAGAGGAGAGUUUGGGAAGAAAGUAAUUAGUCAAAGGGUAGACUGGGAGGUCCCGUUGUGGCUCAGUGGCAAUGAUCCUGACUAGUAACCAUGAGGAUGUGGGUUUGAUCCCUGACCUUGCUCAGUGGGUUAAGGAUCUGGGGUUGUUUCAAGGUGUGGUGUAGGUCACAGAUGAGGCUCACUUCCUGUGUUGCUGUGGCUGUGGCCUAGGCAGCGGCUGCAGCUCUGAUUCACCCUAGGAACUUCCAUAUGCUGCAGGUGCAGGCCUAAAAAGAAAAAAGAGGCAUGGGGUGGGUAGACUGUGCAAAGCCUUACUUGGAGCUCUGAAUAAUAAAAUAACACAAGAGGAGCCAGUCUUCUCCAGUAGUUUAAAGUGUUUAAAAGUAAAUUAACAAGAAAGAGUAUACAUAGCAUAUUUUCUUCUGUUUCAAGUUUCAAGUUUUUUCAGGACAUUCUUCUACUUGUUCUUGGUAAUUAGCAUCUGCUAUUUUGGUUUGGCUUUUUUUUUUUUUUUACCUAUGCCUAUGGCAUGUGGAAGCUCCCAGGCCAGGGAUUGAACCCACACCAAAACAGUGACCUGAGCCACUGCAAUAACAACGUCAGAUCCUUAACUGGCCACAAGGGAACUCCAGCAUCUGCUGUUUUGAAAUUGGGCAGAAAGUUCCCUGGAGCUCUGGACAUAACAAUAUCAUAGCUAUAGCAUCCUUUUUUUGGAAGUGAGCUCUGUGGGGUGUGGUCCAAUUUGGCUGGGUCUGCACUGGUAAAACUCUUAUAAACCCAAAAGAAUGUUUACUGGUUGAUUUGGAUCGAUUGCCAUUAAACUUGGUGAAAAUGGAACCAGCAUGGAGCCCAGAUGGCUGUGAGAUAUGGCUCCUCUUGGUAGCCAUGACAGAGGAGGGAUAGCUGUAGCCAAAAUGUGAAGCAGUUCCAGUGUCUGCAGUUAUCGCCAUUGAAGAAAAAGGGAAAGAGAAAGAAAAAGUCAUGGAGAAGUGGUGGCCUAGACUCCCACACGAGAACUUGAUUAUUUUUUGCUAAAUAAUGCAGGCCAUCCUCGUGUCUUUCAACAACAUAUCUUAGAUUGAUACAGAAAUUUUAGAAUUCUUGGCCCAAGUUCUCUGGUGAUGUUAUUUGCUUUUUGUUUUGAAGUGUUUUUGGUUUUGCUUAGCUCCUCUGUUACUCUUGUGAGCUCACCUGCCUCUUUGUACCAGGCCUCUGGUACAAAGAUUCCAGAGGGGUUCUAGAACUAGUGGCACGAGGACAUAAAGACAAAAACAGAAGAAAAAGUUCAUAAUUGUACAACUAGCUUACAGUAUACUCUGAAAUUAUUUAACAGUUGUUCAUUGGAGUUCCCAUCAUGGUAGAGCAGAAAUGAAUCCAACUGGGAACCAUGAGGUUGUGGGUUCGAUCCCUGGCCUCGAUCAGUGGGUUGAGGAUCCUGUGUUGCUGUGGCUAUGGUGUAGGCCGGCAGCUACAGCUCCGAUUUGACCCCUAGCAUGGGAAUCUCCAUAUGCUGCUGGUGCGGCCCUAAAAACACAAAAGACAAAAGACGAAAACAAACAAACAAAAAAACAAUUGUUCAUUUACAUGUAAUAAUUCGUAAGUAAACUGGUUUACUUGCAGCUUAACAGGAAAGCCAUAAAUACUAUUGAUGAUCACUGUUAAGAGACAACUUUGAAAAAAGCAUAUAAUGAUGACUCUCUUAUAGAUAUAAAAAUGAAUUUGUGCUAAAGAUUUGAUUUAACUUGAUAGCAUGGAACCAGGCAGAUGUUAUGAGGCUCAAAGGAGGAAUCAAGACAGCACCCAUUGACAGGGAGUCAAGGCUGUUGAAAAAGGAAUGUGCACAGGGAGACACAACUAACCUCUUCUACUGGGAGGGAAAGAGGCCAACUGACACUCUACCAGGUAGGGCAGAAUUUGCAUGCUUUUAAAAGAGAAUUUUCACUGCCUCACCAAUCCACAGUUUACAGUGUUGUGAAAUGGCCAGAUAGAAUCACAAUCAGAUAAUCUAGAGGGAGUGUCCUAGAGUCCAUACAACGCAUUGUUUUCCCCUGAAGCACAAUUUUAUCCUACUUCACUUGAGAAACUUGAUUUAUAAUUUUUGAAAGUGUUUUUUUUUUGUUUUAAGUUUUAUUGAAGGAUAGUUGAUUGACAAGGUUGUGGUCACUUCUGCUGUACAACAAAGUGACCUGGUCAAGCAUAAACACAUAGCCAUUCUCUCUCAGAUGAAGAAGUUUUUUUGUGUGUUUGUUUUUAACUUAAACAUGAUUAAUUUAUUGGGGUAACCAGGUCAGUUUUCCUCAGGAUUUGCCACAUUUAGAUCUGGCUGAUUACUUCUUUGUGGUAUCAUUGAAUUGUCCCUCUUUCCCCUGCAUUUCCUAUAAACAAUAAGUGGAUCUAGGUGAUUGAUUCAAUUGAGGUACAAUAUUACUCUGGCAAGAAUAUUUCCUGAGGUGACUCUUUUUGGAUCUUUUUUUUUGCUUUUUAGGGGCUGCACCUGUGGCAUAUGGAAGUUCCCAGGUAGGGGCAGAACCCGAGCUACAGCCCCUGGCCCACAGCCACAGCCACAGCAACUCGGGAUCUGAGCCGUGUCUGCGACCUAUGCCACAGCUCACGGCGACGCCAGAUCUUUAACCCACUGAGUAAGGCCAGGGAUUGAACCUGAAUCCUCGGGGGUCCUAGUCACGUUUGUUAACCGCUGCGACAGAAAGGGAACUCCUCUUUUUGGAUCUUUGUGUCUUCUUUGAAUAACAUCAAAGUGAUCCUCCUGUUAGUAUUACUAAUAUUGAUUAGUUGGCUUAGAUGCUAUCACACCGAUCCAUCCAUUUUUAUUUUAUUGCCCUCGUUUACAGAUUUUGUAACUAUGAAAUUGGCAUAUUUGCCUCCCAUCCUGAGGAACUGUCAUGUUGAUCACAGAAAUGCCAUGGACCUGUCUGAACGAUUCAAAAAAGUGGUUGAAGGAUCCAUCGAAUCUCUCAGGAACGCUGGCUCAAAACCUUGAACCAUGUGGCUCUGUUUCUCUGUAAAGUCACCAAUUUCAGGUGCACGUUAUCAUUAGGAUGAAUAAUAUAGAUGAUAAAAGGAUGACCAACCCUGAGAUCCUAACUUCAACCCAUGUUCGUUUGCCUCAAUUCAGUACUGUUGGAAUGCAGAACAGAUGAUCACCGUUUUGCUUAGACGGGAUUUUCUAUUACAUACACAUACACACUAACCAUGCAAUGGGGAUUCUACUGAGCUCUUCAUAUAUUAUCUCUGUUGCUGACUGGCAGUCUUUUGAGAGAAAUCAUUUAAACAUCUUCCAGCAGCAGUAAUUCAUUUUGCAGAUAUUUGUAAGGUGCAUCCUCUGUGCUAAGUACUGUUCAAGGUCGAAUGGAACUUUAUUUUGGAAUCACUAAACUGAAAGAGUUUAUUUCAAAACUGAAGGGACACUGUGUUUUCCUUAUCCAAAAAAUGAAAGAAUUGGGUUAGAUACUAUCUUAGGUAUAAACUUUAUCCACCUAAAAUUUGCUUUCUUUCCUGAAAUAUUAUAUGUGACUGCAUCUGUAUGGCUAACAGUAUAUCCAUUAGGAAAUGUAAAAAUCUCUAUCAUGAAAAUGCUUCUAAAUGAUAGAAAAGUAGGAGUUCCUGUUGUGGCUCAGCAGUUUAUAAACCCGACUAGUAUCCAUGAGCAAGGCCAGGGAUCGAACCUGCAACCUCAUGGUUCCUAGCCAGAUUUUGUUAACCACUGAGCAACGACGGGAACUCCCUGUCAUUCUACUUUUAAAAAAUAUUUUAUUUUGGCAGUGCCCAUGGCCCAAAACAAAAAAACAAAACAAAAUACUGAGUAUAGUUCCCUCUGCUAUACAGCAAGUCCUUGUUGUUUAUCUAUAUAGAUAUAUAGUGAUAUCAGGGGCCAGUCAGGAAAAUAGGACAUUAGGCAUUUCAAAUACAGGCAACUGAAUGCAGAUUAUUCCUUGCACGAGUGAUGGAAAAGCUGAAAGAGUGAAAAAAAAAAA
rnacentral:lncRNA from 1 species